UACGAAGGGGGCUAGCGUUGUUCGGAAUUACUGGGCGUAAAGCGUGCGCAGGCGGUUUUACAAGUCAGGGGUGAAAGCCCAGAGCUCAACUCUGGAAUUGCCUUUGAAACUGUGAGACUCGAGUGCGGGAGAGGUGAGUGGAAUUCCCAGUGUAGAGGUGAAAUUCGUAGAUAUUGGGAAGAACACCGGUGGCGAAGGCGGCUCACUGGCCCGUUUCUGACGCUCAUGCACGACAGCGUGGGGAUCAAACAGG
rnacentral:rRNA from 1 species